AGAGGGAGAAGCGAAAGGGAAAAGAAAAGCAUCCCCCAAUAUCCCGUUUUUUUCCUGCUCGGGCAGCGAGCCCCGGAGCUCCCAAAGUGAGCGGCGAAGAGGGCGACGGGAGACGGGCGGGAGCCGGCUCCGAGGUGGAGGGGUCGGGGGUGGGAUGAGAAUAGGGGAGGACCGUCCUUUUCGGGAUCAAGGGAGAACCAGCGAGGGAAGGAGGCUGGCGGCACCACAGGCAUCCGAGGUUUUCGACUCUGGGUGAGCAAAAGGAUUUCUUACACUCUCUUGGAAGAGGCGAAGACGCGCUUUUUCCCCCCUCUCUUUUUCCUUUUUUUUUCUUUUUUCUUUUUUUUUUUUUUUAAUGGUGUUAAUUGCUUUUAAAAUAAAAUACGACGGAAUUUGGCAACGA